GAAACACGGACCAAGGAGUUCAACUGGAUUGCAAGUCGUAGAGUAUAACAAUAUACUCAAUUGUAAUUCUAUUACUACAUACGGCGAAGCGAAAGCAAACUGGUGCCAACUGCGCUCGUAUAUGAGCCAGUGCAGCACAGGCUGAUUAUGGAUAUGCGCUGAAAUUUGAGCGUAUACUUGAAUGCACAUUAUUGUGCGUACAAGAAUAAUCAAGCCAAAGAGCAUAUUAGUUGAGACCCGAAAGAUGGUGAACUAUGCUCGGACAUGGUGAAGCCAGGUGAAAACUUGGUGGAAGCUUGCGUUGUGCGGAACUGACGUGCAAAUCGUUGCCGCCUGACCUGAGUAUAGGGGCGAAAGACUCAUCGAACCAUCUAGUAGCUGGUUCCCUCCGAAGUUUCCCUUAGGAUAGCUCGAAUUAAUCACAAUCUCUAAUUAUAUUUAUAUAUAAUAAUACAACAAACGAGUAACACAAGGGUAAAGCAAUGAGACGCGGUAUCUGUGGGUCUUAUUUAAAUGACCUCGGCCUUCUCUCAAACUUUAAAUCUGUGCGAGAUUCGCCUAGCAUUCUUUAAAGUGCGUAUCUUAUACUUUUGUAUAAAUGAUACGUNCNCGAUGCGGCAAUUUGUAUCUAUAAUUCGUAGUGGGCCAUUUCUGGUAAGCAGAACUGGCGAUGAGGGAUUCACCUGACGUUCUCAAGAUAAGCCGGGCUUAAUCAUAUCUGCUCCAACCUUCCGAUAAACGCGA
rnacentral:rRNA from 1 species